GAGUCUGAUCAUGGCUCAGAUUGAACGCUGGCGGCAGGCCUAACACAUGCAAGUCGAACGGUAACAGGAAGAAGCUUGCUUCUUUGCUGACGAGUGGCGGACGGGUGAGUAAUGUCUGGGAAACUGCCUGAUGGAGGGGGAUAACUACUGGAAACGGUAGCUAAUACCGCAUAACGUCGCAAGACCAAAGAGGGGGACCUUCGGGCCUCUUGCCAUCGGAUGUGCCCAGAUGGGAUUAGCUAGUAGGUGGGGUAACGGCUCACCUAGGCGACGAUCCCUAGCUGGUCUGAGAGGAUGACCAGCCACACUGGAACUGAGACACGGUCCAGACUCCUACGGGAGGCAGCAGUGGGGAAUAUUGCACAAUGGGCGCAAGCCUGAUGCAGCCAUGCCGCGUGUAUGAAGAAGGCCUUCGGGUUGUAAAGUACUUUCAGCGGGGAGGAAGGGAGUAAAGUUAAUACCUUUGCUCAUUGACGUUACCCGCAGAAGAAGCACCGGCUAACUCCGUGCCAGCAGCCGCGGCAAUACGGAGGGUGCAAGCGUUAAUCGGAAUUACUGGGCGUAAAGCGCACGCAGGCGGUUUGUUAAGUCAGAUGUGAAAUCCCCGGGCUCAACCUGGGAACUGCAUCUGAUACUGGCAAGCUUGAGUCUCGUAGAGGGGGGUAGAAUUCCAGGUGUAGCGGUGAAAUGCGUAGAGAUCUGGAGGAAUACCGGUGGCGAAGGCGGCCCCCUGGACGAAGACUGACGCUCAGGUGCGAAAGCGUGGGGAGCAAACAGGAUUAGAUACCCUGGUAGUCCACGCCGUAAACGAUGUCGACUUGGAGGUUGUGCCCUUGAGGCGUGGCUUCCGGAGCUAACGCGUUAAGUCGACCGCCUGGGGAGUACGGCCGCAAGGUUAAAACUCAAAUGAAUUGACGGGGGCCCGCACAAGCGGUGGAGCAUGUGGUUUAAUUCGAUGCAACGCGAAGAACCUUACCUGGUCUUGACAUCCACGGAAGUUUUCAGUGAUGAGAAUGUGCCUUCGGGAACCGUGAGACAGGUGCUGCAUGGCUGUCGUCAGCUCGUGUUGUGAAAUGUUGGGUUAAGUCCCGCAACGAGCGCAACCCUUAUCCUUUGUUGCCAGCGGUCCGGCCGGGAACUCAAAGGAGACUGCCAGUGAUAAACUGGAGGAAGGUGGGGAUGACGUCAAGUCAUCAUGGCCCUUACGACCAGGGCUACACACGUGCUACAAUGGACAGAACAAAGGGCAGCGAAACCGCGAGGUUAAGCCAAUCCCACAAAUCUGUUCUCAGUUCGGAUCGCAGUCUGCAACUCGACUCCAUGAAGUCGGAAUCGCUAGUGAUCGUGGAUCAGAAUGCCACGGUGAAUACGUUCCCGGGCCUUGUACAC
rnacentral:rRNA from 1 species